CUCAUCUUCAUAUAGUAUAAGUUAAUGGUAACAAUACUACAAAUCCGGUAGCAUCUUCUAAAAAAUGUAAUUGCUUUUGCACUCAUUUAGUAAAAGAGCAGAAAUAGGUAUCUAAAUCGAUUUAUCAUUUAAAUAUUUGCCUUAUGCACAUUAACCUUCAUACAUUUUAAUAUAGGCAAGCUGUAAAGCAAAAACACUGUUUUUAUUCCUAAUUCACAGUAUAUCUGUUUCUUGCAGAUUUUAAUCUACAAAUAUUAGGCUGUGACAGCUUGCCAGAACUUCUCUUGCAAGGACUUUCUGAUCAGAGUUUUUCAAAAGAGACUUCAUAAAAGCAGAAGUAGGAGCAGACCGAGUGACCCUACAGGUGCAAGCUGCAGCAGUUGUCUCUCCAGUCUUCCCAAUAGGAUUUGUGAAACUCUCUGCAUCUCAACAUCUUUAUUGUUACUACUGUUUUUCAUCCAAAGGAGAGCCUAGUGCUUAAAGAACAAGGAAAGCAAGAAGAUAGAAAUCAUAUAUCCCAGAUGUUUCCAGGGAGUAAUCACUGCAACAGGGCAGCACACACCUUUAAAGAUGCGUCUCCAACUUUAUCAACUCAGUUAUGGAAGUGACAACUCAUGCUAUGGCUGGUAGGUAUUUAAAAUAACUCUCAUAAAGAAUAUUAUCCACCUACAUCUUUUUUGUUGUUUUCCUGGGACUUCUCUCAUUUAAGAAACAACUUUACUGCCACCCGACUUUCUUACUGCAAAUCUUCUCAGAAGGAAGGCGCCCUGUGAGAGGCCCUUUGCCCUGGGAGGGAGCAAGCCCCCGGGCUGCGGAUUCUCUGCCUCUCCGCGCCCCGACCCCGGGCUUGCCAGACUCCACCGCCGCCCUUGC